AUUGAACGCUGGCGGCAGGCCUAACACAUGCAAGUCGAACGAGUGGCGGACGGGUGAGUAAUGUCUGGGAAACUGCCUGAUGGAGGGGGAUAACUACUGGAAACGGUAGCUAAUACCGCAUACCAUCAGAUGUGCCCAGAUGGGAUUAGCUAGUUGGUGGGGUAACGGCUCACCAAGGCGACGAUCCCUAGCUGGUCUGAGAGGAGGACCAGCCACACUGGAACUGAGACACGGGCCAGACUGCUACGGCAGGCAGCAGUGGGGAAUAGUGCACAGUGGGCGAAAGCGUGAUGCAGGAAUGCCGCGUGUAUGAAGAAGGCCAGGGGGUUGUAAAGUACGUUCAGCGGGGAGGCGUUACCUGCAGAAGAAGCAGAGGCUAACUUCGUGCCAGCAGCCGCGGUAAUAC
rnacentral:rRNA from 1 species